UCCCUGAUGGACUAGUGGCUAGCAUGCGGUACUCUCACCACUGUAGCCUGGGUUUGAUUCCUGGUCAGGGAA